rnacentral:rRNA from 1 species
UACGUAGGUGACAAGCGUUAUCCGGAAUUACUGGGCGUAAAGCGCACGCAGACGGCGCGCUAAGUCUGACGUGAAAUCUCCUGGCUUAACUGGGAGGGGUCGUUGGAAACUGGUGUGCUUGAGGCGAUGAGAGGGGUGUAGAAUUCCCGGUGUAGUGGUGGAAUGCGUAGAUAUCGGGAGGAAUACCAGUGGCGAAAGCGGCACCCUGGCAUUAGCCUGACGCUCAGGUGCGAAGGCGUGGGGAGCGAACGGG